CGAGUCCGCAUUGAGAGGGAGAUAGAAGGGGAGGACUACUUUCGAUGACCCCAGUCGAUGAAGACAAGAGUAGUAUUUCGUAAUCAAAGAUGCUACUAUCGGUUCCAUCAUGACUAUGGCCAUGACAUCGAGAGGUACAUUGAGCUGAAGAAUGAGAUAGUAGACUUGAUACGGUGGGGAUAGCUCAGGAAGUACGUAUGGGACCGACCUAUGCAGCUGUCGGAUGACUCUUAGCCUUAGCCGCACC
rnacentral:lncRNA from 1 species